GGGGAACAGGACAGUGUCUGUCAGCCCUCCAGGUCUCGUUUGACCUCACAUCUCCCUGGUUAAAUGGAACUGGACUCGUCACUCGCUGCUUCUCAAUGUUUUAUGGAGUGUCUGUAUGUUAUUAUUUGAUCACAUUUUAAAACUACUUAUGUGUUGAUCUCUAAAUACCCUGUGAACUAUUUUGAUUGAGAAUAAAUAAAAAAUAAUAAAUAGAUUUAUGUCAAA